GACAGAGGAUGCAAGCGUUAUCCGGAAUGAUUGGGCGUAAAGGGUCCGCAGGUGGCAGUGUAAGUCUGCUGUCAAAGAAUGAGGCUUAACCUUAUCAAGGCAGUGGAAACUACACAGCUAGAGUACGGUCGGGGUAGAAGGAAUUCCUGGUGUAGCGGUGAAAUGCGUAGAGAUCAGGAAGAACACCGGUGGCGAAAGCGUUCUGCUAGACCUGUACUGACACUGAGGGACGAAAGCUAGGGGAGCGAAUGGG
rnacentral:rRNA from 1 species